rnacentral:rRNA from 1 species
AUGUCUAUAUGCUCCCUGUGUGGGCAUGGAGAGGAAACAUUAUAUCACUAUCUGAAUACAUGUGAUCAUGCGCGACUGUUCUGGGAGGAGGCAGAGCGAUUUUUUGGUGUUAAACUUCCUAAGCUUCAUCCAGGAACGUGGACCAAAGACAUGCUAGAUGUGAGAAUAGUCAGGAAGGAUACAGCAGCAAUUCUGGUUACUGUAAUGUGGGCAAUUUGGCAUAGCAGGAAUAAAUACACUCAUGGUGAGAACAAGUUUCAACCCAGGCAAUCGAUGAUCCUCAUUGCUGAAAUGUUCGAGCUUUAG